GGCAUUACUGGCAGAGGAAAGUACAUGUUCUAAGGCUUGGAGGCAGGAAAAAGAUGGAUGCCUUUGCGGAAAUGAAAGGAGACACGUGGCUGGAGUGACUAAAGGAGGCAUGAGGUGAAGUUUGGUGAGGUUCCAAGCGCCAGGUGAAGCCAUCCCUGAUGUCAGCUGAGGAUUGCUGACUCUUAGAAUCUCCUGAUUUUAACUUCAACUGGAGACACAGCCACACCUAUGAGGCUGUAAGCUGUUGGAGGUCAAGAACCAUGUGAAAGUCAUUUGAUACCAUGCCUGUGCCCAGCUCAGUGCCAGGCUUGUAGCAAGUCCCCAGGGGCUGGUGACUCAAUGGACCCUCAUUGGAGAGGAUGAUGGACAGAUGGCAAAUGGAGGAUGAAAUGGCUUAAAUCCCUGCAGGAGAGUGUGGAUUAGAUGUGUGAAGGGGUUUCCUGGUAGCAAGGGCGCUUCUGGGCCCUGGGGUAGAAGACAGUAGGGUGGUGGGUGAAGCAUAAAGCAGAUCCCUCAGGCCUACUCUUUCCCUCCUGCCCCACCCUACCCCUUGGAGGCGUGUUUGCUCCCUUGAAGGGUAUAAGGCAGCAUCCUUUCCCAGAGGUACAUGGAGGGGUGUAGUGAUGGAGGGCAGGCGGGCAGCAGUUGAAGGAUGGGCUUCUUUAUUUCUGGGAUAAUGUGAGAAGACUCUAUUGGGACCUUCACCUUUAGCUCCAAGAAAAUGAGAGUAGGAGGAAGCUCCCAGUCUGGAAAGGCAGCGUUCUCUAAGUCAGAAAGGGGAAGUGCCACGCAACCUAGGGGAUCCCAAGGGCACCCACUCCACAGUGCUUCAAGCCAUCUAGGAAAGAGGCGUGCCCCAGAGCCCCGCCUUUCCCCAGAAUACGCACGCUUGGAGUCCUGUCCCUUUAAAGCACUCCCCACCUGAUGCCACAGCCCUCUUGAAAAUGGGGCCAGCCCAGCAGCUCUCAAAGGAGCCGGCACAGUAAAUGAUGAGCAUCUCCCCUGAACUCAUCUUCCCGAGCCUGGUGUUUAAAGUGAAUUGAAACGAAUAUCUGAUAAAUGAAUAAACCUGUAAAUGGAACCGAAAACCUUAUGAACCUGAAGGAGAAAUAGGAGUCCCAGGUCUGUUAAGUCUAAAUUGAAUAAAUCUGAUCAACUCCCCGACAAUUUCUGCCAACGCUCUUGAAGAAGAAGGAGAAGAGGAGUGAGCAGAGAUGGGGCAGAGACGGGUGAAAGAGUGAGUAGGGGAGGGCGAGGCAGGAGUUGGUUCAGUAAUUAAGCUAUCACCGUGAGCCUGCAGAGGAGGCCCAGGUGGCCCCCAGCUUCACUCAGUUGGACUGGAUAAAUAGAUGACAUUAGGAGACUCUUGCAAGGCUGGCUGCUCCUGUGUGUCUGCCCCAGAGGACACCUCUGGAGAACAAUUAGACAUUUGUACAAAGCGGGCAAAGUGAGCUCAGCUGUGGGGGAUGGGAGUCCUUGGUGCACGGGAGUCGGUUGGGUAGCAGGUAUGGGAGGUUGGGAAGUCACAUUCAGAAUGAGCUCAGUGAAGAGUGUUGGAGCCAAAGAACUCCUUCCUUAGUCUCCAUUGAGCUCGGCCACUAUCUAACUAUUGUGUUGUGCUAGUUACUUUCUGUAGUGAUUUAAAAACAUGGCCACAAAGUUCCUUAGCACACACUCCAAAGAAGGUGGUGGUGGUGGUGGUUGGGGGCUGGGGGGCUUUAUGCUCUCCCUUCUUGAAUAGGAGGGUUUGUGACUGCUCAGACCAAUACAGAAUGGUGGCACGGAUGCUAUGUGACAUUUAAGGCUGGGUCAUAAAAGGUCACACACCUUCUGACGCAUUUUCUCGGAAUAUUCUCUUUGGGAGAAGCCAGCCGUUAAUGUAGGAAACUCAAUUACCCUGAGGCUGCCAUGCUGGAGAGGUGUUCCAGCCACCGUGCAGCUGAACGGCUAGCUGCCAGCCAACACUGAAUGCUGGCCGUGAGAAUGAGUCCUCUUAUCCAUGCAGCUUAGUCAAGCCUUCAGAUGCCUGCAAGCCCAGCCCGCAUCUGGCUGCAAGGGCCAAGGAGAGUAAACUUCCCCCACCCCUAAACCCUUCCCAGACUCCUGACCGACAAAAUGAUGAGCACCAGCAAAUACUUUUAUAAGCUGCUAAUUUCUAGAGUAAUUUGUUAAUAAAAAAACAUUUCCCCUCUUGGAUCUCGAUUUUCUUCUUUAAAAGGAUGGGUUAGACCCGACAAUUUUCAAAUAUUUAUUUUGAAAAUUGUAAGUAGUAGGUGAACAUGAUAUUUUCAAAAAGAGUUCAAAUAGCACAAAGGGAUAAAACCAGAAAUGAAACAAUCUC